rnacentral:lncRNA from 1 species
UUCAAAUAGUACUCUUAAAAGUCUAUUACACUUAAUAUGUAGCAAGGGUGCUAUAUAUUCAAACAAAUUUUUUUUAAUAAAUAGUUACAUGCACAGUAAAAACAAUUUGAUCAAUAUCAUGACAUGCAAUGUUAUAGCAGAACAUCAUGUUGCCAUAGAUAUGUGUAAAAUUAGUUUGAUAUUAUACAUGUAUGUUUGUUAGCUAUUAAUUUCCUAUGUACCAACAUCAUAUAUUUUUCUUAUGGAUGUUUAAACCAAGGAAGAAUGCACAUUUUUAUCUCCCUUUGUUUCAAUUUUAUUCUUUUUAAUUUAGAAUAACAUAUCACAAAUUUGAAAUAUGCUUGACCUAUUAUAAGACUCAUUCUCAUAAUAUUUCAGCUGACAAGUUUGAACUAACCAAGUACUCAACAAUCAUUUCUGUCACAAAAAAACUAACUUACUCAUUAUAAUACAACCAAUAAAUGGAUUAUAAGAUUUUCUUUAUAUGGAUUAUACAGUGCUGUCUCCAAUGCUUUGUUUACAUAUCGUUUAGGCCAAAUAAAAAUAUAUGUGUGGUUCCAGUAACCCGACCGACCCUAGAACUUUUUUUUCAUUUCUGAAAAAUAAAUUUUCAAACGAUCAAAUUUUGAGGAUUGUGAAUUAAAAUAAUUAAAUUCAUAGAUUUCUGUCAUCUGAAUUUCCAUCUGAAUUGCCCACCUACCGCCCCUAUUUUUUGAAAGUAUGUAACUGGAACCACACAUAUAUUUUUAUUUGGCCUUAAUCUUGUAAAAUAUCAGCUGCUUGAUACCAUUUUAAAUUUGUUUUCAGUGCCAACUCAACAAAAAGCUUAACAGUAAUAUCAGCUGCUUGAUACCAUUUUAAAUUUGUUUUCUGUGCCAACUCAACAAAAAGCUUCAUACAGUGACCCACAGCUGAUAUUUGACAGUAUACAUAAACAAGUAUAUUCAAUAUUAAACAAGUCUAUUCAUAUACAGAAAAAACAUGAUGAUCUAUGUUAAUAAAGUUAGAUAAGAAAAUUCCUUGAAAAAGUAACCAAAAGAAAACAAGGCGAGGUAAAAAAUGUGUAAUGCCCAUACCUGCCAACUUUCACGAUUUAGGCGUGUACUACACGAUUUUGACCCUCUGUCCCGAUUACACGAUCGUGAUCGUGAAAAUAGCCAAAAAACACGAUUUUAGUAAAAUUUACACGAAAAAUAUUUUUGUUCCCGAUUUUGAACUUUUGAAAGUUUUCCCAAGGGAGACAAAUCGUGUCUGACAAAUUUCAUCCAAUCAAAAUUUAGUGAUCACGCAUUCACCAGUUGAUUAAUGUCGGCAUAGUAAACAAUCAAAGAAUCGAAAUUUUGAGUUGUUUUUUUUUUAGCUUGUGUGUUAAAUUUAUAAAAAUUGGAAUCAUGAUGGGCGAGUUAUCACUUGCAAAAUAGUUCUGUCACCGCCUAAGAAAAAAAAAGCGUGUUGCUUCGUGCAAAUACUUAGAGAAAUGGGAGAAUGUUGUCAAGUACAGGGGCUGGUUGUCUAAAUCAACGUUAGGAUUGUCACAUGCCUUUUGUAAAGUUUGCAACAGAGACUUUAAAGUUGACCACGGUGGCCUUAAUGAUGUCUCCAAGCAUUCUAGUACUGCUUGUGAUAAUGAUCUAUAUAAUAUAUGAGGGUUUGGAUGGGGUUAAAUGAUUAAAGAAUAUAACGUUAAUGCCCUUAAAAAAUGAAGAUUAGAGAAUAACGGGCAAAAAAAAAAUGAAAAUUGGAGAAAUGGGUGGUCAAAUUUUUUGAAGAUUAGAGAAAAAAAGAGGUUAAUUUUUUUGAAGAUUAGAGAAAAAAGGGGUGAAAAUUACAUGUUUACAGAACAACAGACCCCCCCCCCCCCCCCCCCCAUUCCAGACCCUCAUAUAUUAUUGUUUUUUUUGUUAUUAAAUUAUUAAAAUUAUUACUUUUUUUUUUAUUUCUUGACAAUGUAUCAGACAAACAUAAAGUCAUCUUACUGGUGUUUAUCUCAACAAAAAGAAUACAACAAUCAAACAAUUCAAAAAAAGAUAGGUUAUAAUAGCAUCUUCAACUAUCACCCCCCAAAAAA